rnacentral:rRNA from 1 species
UACGAAGGGUGCAAGCGUUACUCGGAAUUACUGGGCGUAAAGCGUGCGUAGGUGGUUUGUUAAGUCUGUUGUGAAAGCCCCGGGCUCAACCUGGGAAUGGCAAUGGAUACUGGCAGGCUAGAGUGCGGUAGAGGGUGAGUGGAAUUCCCGGUGUAGCGGUGAAAUGCGCAGAAUAUCGGGAGGAACACCGGUGGGCGAAGGCGGUCUGCUGGGCAGUAGCUGACACUGAGGCGCGACAGCGUGGGGAGCAAACAGG